GAUGAACGCUGGCGGCGUGCCUAAUACAUGCAAGUCGAGCGAACAGACGAGGAGCUUGCUCCUCUGACGUUAGCGGCGGACGGGUGAGUAACACGUGGAUAACCUACCUAUAAGACUGGGAUAACUUCGGGAAACCGGAGCUAAUACCGGAUAAUAUAUUGAACCGCAUGGUUCAAUAGUGAAAGACGGUUUUGCUGUCACUUAUAGAUGGAUCCGCGCCGCAUUAGCUAGUUAGUAAGGUAACGGCUUACCAAGGCAACGAUGCGUAGCCGACCUGAGAGGGUGAUCGGCCACACUGGAACUGAGACACGGUCCAGACUCCUACGGGAGGCAGCAGUAGGGAAUCUUCCGCAAUGGGCGAAAGCCUGACGGAGCAACGCCGCGUGAGUGAUGAAGGUCUUCGGAUCGUAAAACUCUGUUAUUAGGGAAGAACAAAUGUGUAAGUAACUAUGCGCGUCUUGACGGUACCUAAUCAGAAAGCCACGGCUAACUACGUG
rnacentral:rRNA from 1 species